rnacentral:rRNA from 1 species
UACAGAGGUCUCAAGCGUUGUCCGGAUUUAUUGGGCGUAAAGGGCUCGUAGGCGGUUUGUCGCGUCGGGAGUGAAAACCUACAGCUUAACUGUGGGCUUGCUUUCGAUACGGGCAGACUAGAGGUAUGCAGGGGAGAACGGAAUUCCUGGUGUAGCGGUGAAAUGCGCAGAUAUCAGGAGGAACACCGGUGGCGAAGGCGGCUCUCUGGGACGGUACUGACGCUGAGACGCGAAAGCGUGGGGAGCGAACAGG